CCUACGGGUGGCAGCAGUGAGGAAUAUUGGUCAAUGGACGCAAGUCUGAACCAGCCACGCCGCGUGCAGGAAGACGGUUCUAUGAGUUGUAAACUGCUUUUGUACGAGGGUAAAUGCAGAUACGCGUAUCUGUCUGAAAGUAUCGUACGAAUAAGGAAAGGCUAACGCAGUGCCAGCAGCCGCGGGACUAAGGAAGAUUCAAGGGUUAUCCGGUUAUAUUGGGUUUAAAGGGUGUGUAUGGGGUCGGAUUAGUUAGAUGUGAAAUCCCGGGGCUCAACUUCUGAAUUGCUUCUGAUACUGUUCGGCUAGAGAGUAGUUGCGGUAGGCGGAAUG
rnacentral:rRNA from 1 species